UAUAAUAACAUAGGAAAGAAAAUAAUAAAAGCAGACCGCCUCUAGCAUAAGUGGCAAGCGUGUCAAUCAAUCGUGUAUAUAUAUAGAUAAACUUGUACUUUUAUUUUUCUAUACAGUAAAAUAUAUCUUUCUCGCUCUUUUCGUUGAACUAGACAAUUACAAUUAUUAUAUUUCAGACUAUUUUGAAUUAUUGAAUGUGUCCGUCAAUUUACUAAUACG
rnacentral:lncRNA from 1 species